GACGAACGCUGGCGGCGUGCUUAACACAUGCAAGUCGAACGGAAAGACCACUUUCGGGGGGUACUCGAGUGGCGAACGGGCGAGUAACACAUACGUAAAUUGCCCUCGUCUUUGGGAUAACUUAAGGAAACAGGGGGUAAUACCGGAUAGGAGAUACUGCUGCAUGGUGGGGGUUGGAAAGUUUCGGGGUUUGGGGAUGGAUUCGCGGGGUAUCAGCUUGUUAGUGGGGUAAUGGCUUACCAAGGCUUUGACGGGUAGCCGGCCUGUGAGGGUGACCGGCGACCUUGGGUCUUAGAGGCGGCCCAGACUCCUACUGUAGGGAGAAGUGGGGAAUAUUGCACAAGCGGUGGAGGCCUGAUGCUGCAGCGCCGUGGACGGUAUGACGGCCUUAUUGGUGUAGACCGAAUUCGCACAUGACGAAGCUUUGUUUGACGGUAGUGGGUAAAGAAGCACCGGCUAACUACGUG
rnacentral:rRNA from 1 species